AUUGAACGCUGGCGGCAGGCCUAACACAUGCAAGUCGAGCGGAUGAAGGGAGCUUGCUCCUGGAUUCAGCGGCGGACGGGUGAGUAAUGCCUAGGAAUCUGCCCGGUAGUGGGGGAUAACGUCCGGAAACGGGCGCUAAUACCGCACACGUCCUGAGGGAGAAAGUGGGGGAUCUUCGGACCUCACGCUAUCAGAUGAGCCUAGGUCGGAUUAGCUAGUUGGUGGGGUAAAGGCCUACCAAGGCGACGAUCCGUAACUGGUCUGAGAGGAUGAUCAGUCACACUGGAACUGAGACACGGUCCAGACUCCUACGGGAGGCAGCAGUGGGGAAUAUUGGACAAUGGGCGAAAGCCUGAUCCAGCCAUGCCGCGUGUGUGAAGAAGGUCUUCGGAUUGUAAAGCACUUUAAGUUGGGAGGAAGGGCAGUAAGUUAAUACCUUGCUGUUUUGACGUUACCAACAGAAUAAGCACCGGCUAACUUCGUG
rnacentral:rRNA from 1 species